GAUGAAGAACGCAGCGAAAUGCGAUAAGUAAUGUGAAUUGCAGAAUUCAGUGAAUCAUCGAAUCUUUGAACGCACAUUGCGCCCGCCGGUAUUCCGGCGGGCAUGCCUGUCCGAGCGUCAUUUCACCACUCAAGCCCGGCUUGGUGUUGGGGCGCCCGGCCGCCUGGUGGUCGGGGCCCCGUCUGCCGGAAGACCUGCUCGCAAGGUUGACCUCGGAUCAGGCAGGGAUACCCGCUGAACUUAAGCAUAUCAAUAAGCGGAGGA
rnacentral:misc_RNA from 1 species